CAGCCGCCGCGGUAAUACGGAGGGUGCGAGCGUUAAUCGGAAUUACUGGGCGUAAAGCGCACGCAGGCGGUCUGACAAGUCAGAUGUGAAAUCCCCGGGCUUAACCUGGGAACUGCAUUUGAAACUGUCAGGCUGGAGUCUUGUAGAGGGGGGUGGAAUUCCAGGUGUAGCGGUGAAAUGCGUAGAGAUCUGGAGGAAUACCGGUGGCGAAGGCGGCCCCCUGGACAAAGACUGACGCUCAGGUGCGAAAGCGUGGGGAGCAAACAGGAUUAGAUACCCCGUGUAGUCCCUGUCUCUUAUA
rnacentral:rRNA from 1 species